rnacentral:rRNA from 1 species
AGAUUGAACGCUGGCGGCAGGCCUAACACAUGCAAGUCGAGCGGCAGCACGGGUACUUGUACCUGGUGGCGAGCGGCGGACGGGUGAGUAAUGCCUAGGAAUCUGCCUGGUAGUGGGGGAUAACGGCUCGGAAACGGACGCUAAUACCGCAUACGUCCUACGGGAGAAAGCAGGGGACCUUCGGGCCUUGCGCUAUCAGAUGAGCCUAGGUCGGAUUAGCUAGUUGGUGGGGUAAUGGCUCACCAAGGCGACGAUCCGUAACUGGUCUGAGAGGAUGAUCAGUCACACUGGAACUGAGACACGGUCCAGACUCCUACGGGAGGCAGCAGUGGGGAAUAUUGGACAAUGGGACGAAAGCCUGAUCCAGCCAUGCCGCGUGUGUGAAGAAGGUCUUCGGAUUGUAAAAGCUAACGUUUUAAGGUUGGGAAGAAGGGCUAAGUUACCUAAUACGUAUCUUGUUUUGACGUUACGACAGAAUAAGCCACGGCUAACUCUGUGCCAAGUAGACCG